GCGAGUCUUUGUAGUAAUACAAGGCAUACGGCUCAGUAACGCGUAGUCAACCUACCCUAUGGACAAGAAUAAUCUCGGGAGACUGAGCAUAAUUCUUGACAGAUCAUAAUGCCUGGAAUGGUUUAUGGUUAAAAUGAUUCGUCGCCAUAGGAUGGGACUGCGGCCUAUCAGCUUGUUGGUGAGGUAAUGGCCCACCAAGGCGAUUACAGGUACGGGCUCUGAGAGGAGAAGCCCGGAGAUGGGUACUGAGACACGGACCCAGGCCCUAUGGGGCGCAGCAGGCGAGAAAACUUUGCAAUGUGCGAAAGCACGACAAGGUUAAUCCGAGUGAUUUCUGCUAAAGAAAUCUUUUGCAAGUCAUAAAACCACUAGUGAAUACGGGGUGGGCAAGUUCUGGUGUCAGCCGCCGCGGUAAAACCAGCACCUCA
rnacentral:rRNA from 1 species